rnacentral:rRNA from 1 species
UUGCACAAUGGGGGCAACCCUGAUGCAGCGACGCCGCGUGAGCGAUGAAGCCCUUCGGGGCGUAAAGCUCUUUCGACCGGAACGAUAAUGACGGUACCGGGAGAAGAAGCUGCGGCUAACUACGUGCCAGCAGCCGCGGUAAUACGUAGGCAGCAAGCGUUGUUCGGAGUUACUGGGCGUAAAGAGUGCGUAGGCGGUUUUCUAAGUUCGGUGUGAAAUCUCCCGGCUUAACUGGGAGGGUGCGCCGAAGACUGGGAAGCUGGAGUGUGGGAAAGGCAGGCGGAAUUCCUGGUGUAGCGGUGAAAUGCGUAGAUAUCAGGAGGAACACCGGCGGUGUAGACGGCUUGCUAAACCAUAACUGACGCUGAGGCACGAAAGCGUGGGUAGCAAACA